UAGAAAGAACCAGAGGGAGCUGGGUGGUU
rnacentral:piRNA from 1 species